CUCUGUGUCACGCUGAAUCUCCCUGAGAACUACGUAAAGUGUUCGUGUGUCUGUGGAGUGCUCAGCCACUUACAUGUUAAUUUCACGAGCAGGCUGUUUCGUUGAUCAGAUCAACUGCAACCCGCAUCGUAGUAAGCGACGGAAUGCCAACAACACAUGAAACAU